GAGGCGAUGAAGGACGUGCUAAUCUGCGAUAAGCGUCGGUAAGGUGAUAUGAACCGUUAUAACCGGCGAUUUCCGAAUGGGGAAACCCAGUGUGUUUCGAUACACUAUCAUUAACUGAAUCCAUAGGUUAAUGAGGCGAACCGGGGGAACUGAAACAUCUAAGUACCCCGAGGAAAAGAAAUCAACCGAGAUUCCCCCAGUAGCGGCGAGCGAACGGGGAGCAGCCCAGAGCCUGAAUCAGUGUGUGUGUUAGUGGAAGCGUCUGGAAAGGCGCGCGAUACAGGGUGACAGCCCCGUACACAAAAAUGCACAUGCUGUGAGCUCGAUGAGUAGGGCGGGACACGUGGUAUCCUGUCUGAAUAUGGGGGGACCAUCCUCCAAGGCUAAAUACUCCUGACUGACCGAUAGUGAACCAGUACCGUGAGGGAAAGGCGAAAAGAACCCCGGCGAGGGGAGUGAAAAAGAACCUGAAACCGUGUACGUACAAGCAGUGGGAGCACGCUUAGGCGUGUGACUGCGUACCUUUUGUAUAAUGGGUCAGCGACUUAUAUUCUGUAGCAAGGUUAACCGAAUAGGGGAGCCGAAGGGAAACCGAGUCUUAACUGGGCGUUAAGUUGCAGGGUAUAGACCCGAAACCCGGUGAUCUAGCCAUGGGCAGGUUGAAGGUUGGGUAACACUAACUGGAGGACCGAACCGACUAAUGUUGAAAAAUUAGCGGAUGACUUGUGGCUGGGGGUGAAAGGCCAAUCAAACCGGGAGAUAGCUGGUUCUCCCCGAAAGCUAUUUAGGUAGCGCCUCGUGAAUUCAUCUCCGGGGGUAGAGCACUGUUUCGGCAAGGGGGUCAUCCCGACUUACCAACCCGAUGCAAACUGCGAAUACCGGAGAAUGUUAUCACGGGAGACACACGGCGGGUGCUAACGUCCGUCGUGAAGAGGGAAACAACCCAGACCGCCAGCUAAGGUCCCAAAGUCAUGGUUAAGUGGGAAACGAUGUGGGAAGGCCCAGACAGCCAGGAUGUUGGCUUAGAAGCAGCCAUCAUUUAAAGAAAGCGUAAUAGCUCACUGGUCGAGUCGGCCUGCGCGGAAGAUGUAACGGGGCUAAACCAUGCACCGAAGCUGCGGCAGCGACGCUGAUGCGUUGUUGGGUAGGGGAGCGUUCUGUAAGCCUGCGAAGGUGUGCUGUGAGGCAUGCUGGAGGUAUCAGAAGUGCGAAUGCUGACAUAAGUAACGAUAAAGCGGGUGAAAAGCCCGCUCGCCGGAAGACCAAGGGUUCCUGUCCAACGUUAAUCGGGGCAGGGUGAGUCGACCCCUAAGGCGAGGCCGAAAGGCGUAGUCGAUGGGAAACAGGUUAAUAUUCCUGUACUUGGUGUUACUGCGAAGGGGGGACGGAGAAGGCUAUGUUGGCCGGGCGACGGUUGUCCCGGUUUAAGCGUGUAGGCUGGUUUUCCAGGCAAAUCCGGAAAAUCAAGGCUGAGGCGUGAUGACGAGGCACUACGGUGCUGAAGCAACAAAUGCCCUGCUUCCAGGAAAAGCCUCUAAGCAUCAGGUAACAUCAAAUCGUACCCCAAACCGACACAGGUGGUCAGGUAGAGAAUACCAAGGCGCUUGAGAGAACUCGGGUGAAGGAACUAGGCAAAAUGGUGCCGUAACUUCGGGAGAAGGCACGCUGAUAUGUAGGUGAAGUCCCUCGCGGAUGGAGCUGAAAUCAGUCGAAGAUACCAGCUGGCUGCAACUGUUUAUUAAAAACACAGCACUGUGCAAACACGAAAGUGGACGUAUACGGUGUGACGCCUGCCCGGUGCCGGAAGGUUAAUUGAUGGGGUUAGCGCAAGCGAAGCUCUUGAUCGAAGCCCCGGUAAACGGCGGCCGUAACUAUAACGGUCCUAAGGUAGCGAAAUUCCUUGUCGGGUAAGUUCCGACCUGCACGAAUGGCGUAAUGAUGGCCAGGCUGUCUCCACCCGAGACUCAGUGAAAUUGAACUCGCUGUGAAGAUGCAGUGUACCCGCGGCAAGACGGAAAGACCCCGUGAACCUUUACUAUAGCUUGACACUGAACAUUGAGCCUUGAUGUGUAGGAUAGGUGGGAGGCUUUGAAGUGUGGACGCCAGUCUGCAUGGAGCCGACCUUGAAAUACCACCCUUUAAUGUUUGAUGUUCUAACGUGGACCCGUAAUCCGGGUUGCGGACAGUGUCUGGUGGGUAGUUUGACUGGGGCGGUCUCCUCCUAAAGAGUAACGGAGGAGCACGAAGGUUGGCUAAUCCUGGUCGGACAUCAGGAGGUUAGUGCAAUGGCAUAAGCCAGCUUGACUGCGAGCGUGACGGCGCGAGCAGGUGCGAAAGCAGGUCAUAGUGAUCCGGUGGUUCUGAAUGGAAGGGCCAUCGCUCAACGGAUAAAAGGUACUCCGGGGAUAACAGGCUGAUACCGCCCAAGAGUUCAUAUCGACGGCGGUGUUUGGCACCUCGAUGUCGGCUCAUCACAUCCUGGGGCUGAAGUAGGUCCCAAGGGUAUGGCUGUUCGCCAUUUAAAGUGGUACGCGAGCUGGGUUUAGAACGUCGUGAGACAGUUCGGUCCCUAUCUGCCGUGGGCGCUGGAGAACUGAGGGGGGCUGCUCCUAGUACGAGAGGACCGGAGUGGACGCAUCACUGGUGUUCGGGUUGUCAUGCCAAUGGCACUGCCCGGUAGCUAAAUGCGGAAGAGAUAAGUGCUGAAAGCAUCUAAGCACGAAACUUGCCCCGAGAUGAGUUCUCCCUGACUCCUUGAGAGUCCUGAAGGAACGUUGAAGACGACGACGUUGAUAGGCCGGGUGUGUAAGCGCAGCGAUGCGUUGAGCUAACCGGUACUAAUGAACCGUGAGGCUUAACCUU
rnacentral:rRNA from 1 species